GACGAACGCUGGCGGCGUGCCUAAUACAUGCAAGUUGAGCGCUGAAGGUUGGUACUUGUACCAACUUGAUGAGCAGCGCACGGGUGAGUAACGCGUGGGGAAUCUGCCUUUGAGCGGGGGACAACAUUUGGAAACGAAUGCUAAUACCGCAUAAAAACUUUAAACACAAGUUUUAAGUUUGAAAGAUGCAAUUGCAUCACUCAAAGAUGAUCCCGCGUUGUAUUAGCUAGUUGGUGAGGUAAAGGCUCACCAAGGCGAUGAUACAUAGCCGACCUGAGAGGGUGAUAGGCCACAUUGGGAGGGUGACCCGGCCCAAACGGCUACGGGAGGCAGCAGUAGGGAAUCGUCGGCAAUGGACGAAAGUCUGACCGAGCAAGGCCGAGUGAGUGAAGAAGGUUUUCGGAUCGUAAAACUCUGUUGGUAGAGAAGAACGUUGGUGAGAGUGGAAAGAUCAUCAAGUGACGGUAACUACCCAGAAAGGGACGGCUAACUACGUG
rnacentral:rRNA from 1 species